UUAAAAAGAAAUAACUUCAUAUAAAGCUUCUAACUUUAUCACAAUGAUUAAAAAUCAUUUUAUUUCUU
rnacentral:tRNA from 1 species